GUGGCUAAAGUCAUGCUAAAGUCGACCCAUUUGUAACAGAUGCUAAAGUACUGGUUGAGACCCUGAUCUUUGUUUUGUUAAUUGAAACCAACCAAUUUCAUUAGAUUGCUGCUACUGGUUAAGGUAGUAGUAAGAUUGAAGUUAAUUGUUUACAUUUUUACAGCCAAUUGCUUACAUGUGCCAGCAAAUCGCUCUUUGAGACUCCACUUGCAAAAAUAUCCCCUGUAGGCCUACUGCUGUACCCAUCAUCCUACAGUCACAAAAACAAUGCUCAAAGGAUGUGGAAUGAGUCAUCAUUAUUACCACUGCCUUCAAUGAAUCCAUCACAGAAAGUGUUUCUGGAUUUGGAAAGCCUUAACUCAAUAUUCAGAAUUUUCUUCUGGGAUGACAACAAUAGAUGGCCACUCUUAAGUUAAGAAGAGAGAAUUAAGUUUUUAUCUGUGU